rnacentral:lncRNA from 1 species
UGUAUUUGAGAGAAACAGGCUUGAAGAGAUGUUUUAUUAGAUAGAACAAGCCGGAACUACAAUGUUUGGUGUAUAAACCCUAGUUCUAGCCGCCUAGCUUUACUACCUAAGUCUUGAAGUGUCGAUCCCUUGCUGUAGGAUUUACGCUCCCCUUAUAUAGUUGUUUUAGGUCGGCCUUAGUCGGUUUGAGUAGGUUAAACUAUUCCAA